AACGAGGCCGACCUGCGGCUGAGUUACCUGCGGAAGGAUCAUUACCACAUUUACAUGCGUCCAGCCCGGCGCGCCGGUCCCAGACCGGGGCGCCGGGCGGAUCGUGACCCUUGAUUUACCAGCACCCAUCCUUCGUUCCCUCGGCGGGGUGACCCGCCGGAGGACCAACCACGAACCCUCUUUUGCAAUCUCAGAAGUCACGUUCGAAAACAAACAAAACAGUCACAACUUUUAGCAACG
rnacentral:misc_RNA from 1 species